rnacentral:guide_RNA from 1 species
GAUUAUAACUGUAAUACGGUGGUAAAUAGAUUUAGUAGAUGUAGAGAUUGAU